rnacentral:rRNA from 1 species
AUGGUAAGUUCACUCUGUUUUCACGGUUGGUAUACUCUGUUUGUGUUUGUGGCUCUUGUGCUUGUGCUUGAUUGUCUCAUGGAUGCACUAAUGUUGUUGUAUGUCCACUACCGGUUGCAGCAGCAUUAUUUGCUCAAGAACUUGUCUCUGAUGCUCAUCUGCAUUUGUUGUUGUGGAUGCUGGCCAUUUUCAUUUUGCAGGGUCGAACAAUGUGUGGAUGGCGAGACAGAGCAGCCAGCCAAUGCCGUAUCCAAGGUCCUCGGCGACGACAACCUCCUCAGGGAGAUAAUCGUCCGUCUCGGCUUCCCCACCAACCUUGUCCGUGCCGCCCUCGUCUGCAAGCGCUGGCUCGGGCAUGCCGCCGACCCCGCCUUCCUCUGCCGUUUCCGCAAGCUCCACCCACCCGGCCUCCUAGGCUACUACAUCUCCGAGCGGUCGGUUGCGUUGGAGCAGCUAGGAGCUCCACCCUUUCACGUAAUGUUGCCUCAGCCCCUGCCCCUGACCCCACUGUUUUUUAACCCCACCACUAUCACCAGCCACCGUUCUGCUCCACGCUUUGUCCCGAUGCUACCUCAGCCCCCAGAGCUUGCCCCCGUCAUGCGUCACCUUGCUGACUACAGGUUCAGUGUCGACGAUGGCACUAUCUGA